UUAUUCAACUAUGUUUUAGUAAUUUCAUCAGUCAUAAAUAAUAUUCACAAGAAAGGUACGAAUAUAAUAAAGAUCUAUCGAUAUCUAUCAUCUCUAUAACGUCUAUCAUAUCUAUACCUUCGUUCAGGAGAUUUAUCUCGUAAGUGAUCAUCACAAUUUUUAUUUCCAGUAUUUCUCCGUUUAUGGUAUGAACGAUCAUCACCGUAGUAGUUAGAAAAUCUUUCAUUUCUAAAUGAACUUUGAUCGUCACGAUGAUCACGCUCUUUCCGUCGAUGCCUAUAGUCGUCUCGGUAAUUAGAUCUGUCAUAACGACCAUCAGACCUACGGUGGUACUCACGAUCAUCACUACGAGACGAAGAACGUUUUCGGUCCCUAUUGGAGUUGUAAUAUUGUCUGUAACGAGCCACGCUUUGGGAAAAAUCUACGUGAAUUCGAGAAUCAUCAAUUAAAACAUUUUGCAUUUUAAAAUAAGCUUUUUCAACACUUUCUUUGUUAUCAAAUUCGAUAAAGGCAUAUUGAAGACUAUCGCCUGUUUCUUUAUCUCGAAUAACUUGGCAGGAGAUAAUUUUUCCAAAUCGCGAGAAUAUUAACUCUAAAUCUUCAUCUUGGGUAACGGGAUUUAAUUUGCAAACGAACAAAACGUUUUCGGGAGGAGCAACAUGAGCAAAGGGUAAAUCACCAAUCAUUUCUAGUGUAACAGCCUCUGCUUCUGCCUCCAUUUCCUUCUCUCUUUGCAAUUUAUCUUCCGAUGUUUCUGACUCAAUUUGUUCGUUUUCCCCUAUACGUACCGUAGCUAAUUGUUCAGGCGUUGGAGACGGUGACCGCAAAGGCUCCACUAGAUCGGGUGGAUCCUCAAACGGGUCAUCUAGUAUAAUUGUGUGUUUUAUACGAAUAUCACGAUAAGGCUGACCCUCUUCAUCGCAUAUAGCGUCAUUGAUUUUCAGUAGCGUGUCAAAGCCUUCAGCAACCUGUCCAUAAAUUGGGUAUCUUUCAUCAAGUCCUUCUAAAUUGUCUGACAAAGUUAUUAUAAACUGACUACCACAAACAAGUAAUUUGUCAUCUCUAGAAGAUAUAGUUGCUGUGCUCAUACUAACCAAGCCCAUUUUAUUAUGUACCAAAGAAGGAUUAAAUUCCGCUUUGAAAAAGCGUGUUCCUUUAUUCAGUACAUUCCACACACAUCGACCACCAUCUCCAGUUGGUCCAAGAGGAUCACCUGUUUGACAGGUAUAAUUGUGCUGAAUGUUAUAAAAUGGACAAAAAUUAUAGUAUUUUAAUUUGCAUAAUUUAAGAAAAUUCUCACAAGUUUUGGGCGCUUCCUUGACGAAUAAAUCGAUAACCAAAUCACCAA